AAAUUGAAGAGUUUGAUCAUGGCUCAGAUUGAACGCUGGCGGCAGGCCUAACACAUGCAAGUCGAGCGGUAGCACAGAGAGCUUGCUCUCGGGUGACGAGCGGCGGACGGGUGAGUAAUGUCUGGGAAACUGCCUGAUGGAGGGGGAUAACUACUGGAAACGGUAGCUAAUACCGCAUAACGUCGCAAGACCAAAGUGGGGGACCUUCGGGCCUCAUGCCAUCAGAUGUGCCCAGAUGGGAUUAGCUAGUAGGUGGGGUAACGGCUCACCUAGGCGACGAUCCCUAGCUGGUCUGAGAGGAUGACCAGCCACACUGGAACUGAGACACGGUCCAGACUCCUACGGGAGGCAGCAGUGGGGAAUAUUGCACAAUGGGCGCAAGCCUGAUGCAGCCAUGCCGCGUGUGUGAAGAAGGCCUUCGGGUUGUAAAGCACUUUCAGCGGGGAGGAAGGCGGUGAGGUUAAUAACCUCAUCGAUUGACGUUACCCGCAGAAGAAGCACCGGCUAACUCCGUGCCAGCAGCCGCGGUAAUACGGAGGGUGCAAGCGUUAAUCGGAAUUACUGGGCGUAAAGCGCACGCAGGCGGUCUGUCAAGUCGGAUGUGAAAUCCCCGGGCUCAACCUGGGAACUGCAUUCGAAACUGGCAGGCUAGAGUCUUGUAGAGGGGGGUAGAAUUCCAGGUGUAGCGGUGAAAUGCGUAGAGAUCUGGAGGAAUACCGGUGGCGAAGGCGGCCCCCUGGACAAAGACUGACGCUCAGGUGCGAAAGCGUGGGGAGCAAACAGGAUUAGAUACCCUGGUAGUCCACGCCGUAAACGAUGUCGAUUUGGAGGUUGUGCCCUUGAGGCGUGGCUUCCGGAGCUAACGCGUUAAAUCGACCGCCUGGGGAGUACGGCCGCAAGGUUAAAACUCAAAUGAAUUGACGGGGCCCGCACAAGCGGUGGAGCAUGUGGUUUAAUUCGAUGCAACGCGAAGAACCUUACCCGGUCUUGACAUCCACAGAACUUUCCAGAGAUGGAUUGGUGCCUUCGGGAACUGUGAGACAGGUGCUGCAUGGCUGUCGUCAGCUCGUGUUGUGAAAUGUUGGGUUAAGUCCCGCAACGAGCGCAACCCUUAUCCUUUGUUGCCAGCGGUCCGGCCGGGAACUCAAAGGAGACUGCCAGUGAUAAACUGGAGGAAGGUGGGGAUGACGUCAAGUCAUCAUGGCCCUUACGACCGUGGCUACACACGUGCUACAAUGGCAUAUACAAAGAGAAGCGACCUCGCGAGAGCAAGCGGACCUCAUAAAGUAUGUCGUAGUCCGGAUUGAGUCUGCAACUCGACUCCAUGAAGUCGGAAUCGCUAGUAAUCGUAGAUCAGAAUGCUACGGUGAAUACGUUCCCGGGCCUUGUACACACCGCCCGUCACACCAUGGGAGUGGGUUGCAAAAGAAGUAGGUAGCUUAACCUUCGGGAGGGCGCUUACCACUUUGUGAUUCAUGACUGGGGUGAAGUCGUAACAAGGUAACCGUAGGGGAACCUGCGGUUGGAUCACCUCCUUACCUUAAAGAA
rnacentral:rRNA from 1 species